ensembl:lncRNA
GGCUUCCAGUUUGGAACUAUUAGGGAUAAAGCUGCUGUGAAUAUUUGUUCACUGAUUAUUGUGUGAACAAAAUUUUCUCUUUAUCUGGGAUAAAUGCCCAAGAGUACAAUUUCUAAGCUGUAUGACACAAGAUUUGACAACACUGAAAACAAGAACAUUUCUCUGACCAGACUGCGCUGACUGGUGGAGAGUUCAUCACACACAGAAAAGGGAAAGCUGUCUUAUUCAAGUCGGUGAUGGCGUAGAACCUCCACUGCCUGAAAAAGAGAUUGCAAUUUAAAUAAAUAAAGUACAUACAGAGGAGAGCAGCAGAGGCCUAGUGAGGAGAUGAGGAAAAGGUGGGAGAGCAGCAGCAGCAGCAAACUACUCAAGAUCAAAAUGGUAAGAAAAAUAGUGGCAGGAGCACGUGCUGAGGACGUGUCCCCACCCCUCCCACAGCCAAUACCUUUGGGGGCGGACAGCACCAGCCAGAGCCCCAUGGGGAGGGGGGAUUCUCUGCAGGUGAUGAUGGGUCUCUGAGCCCGGGGCCCCUGAAUCUCCAACAUACUUUCUCCACUUUAGGAAGCGGCCUCCCAGGACCCAGGCAGCUCCAACAGAGCUGGGAGCCUGGGGAGGACAGGAUGCCCGUCCCCCAGAGCACACCCACUAAACAGCUCAGCACCUUCUGCAACUCACAGCCACUCAUGUGUGCAUAAACACUCACACACACGCAUUCACACAUGCACACUGACAUGUAUAUUCACACCCGCACACACUCUCACAUCAGUACCUUCACACACACACAUCCGUGCACUCAUACCCAUACACUCAUCCACACUCAUACACCCACACAUCCCCAUGCUCACACACUCAAGCCCUCAUGCAUGAACAUGCAAAUUCACACACACAUCCCCACACUCACAUGCACUCAACAUGCGCACUCACACACAGGCACGCACAUAUUAAGUAAAGACCCUCCCUAGUGCCCUCCCCAGGUCCUCUCAGGCUGGCCCAGGAAGAGGCUGCGGCUGGGGAUCCAGUCACCCAGAGCGUGAGAUCCGAAACUUGAAAAGGGCACAUUUACACAUCAGCCCCAAGGAGGCCCCUGGUCCUCUGCUCCUCUCCUCCCCUGCAGCACAUGUCACAGUCUCUCAGAACUCCAGGGAUGCAGUCCAAAGGCUGGCAGUCUCCUGGAAGUGGUCCUGGAGGGACACAGUUGGGGUGGAGGAGGGGCCACCAGGACCAGGGGUUUCCAGGCAACUUGGCACAAGGGAGGAAGCCAUCAGUGCCCUUCCAUCUGUGGGAAUCUGCGGGGGGCACGUGGUAGCCCAGGUGCAGCCUCAGGCCUCGGGGUGAGGCAGGCAGAACUCUUCGGCCAGGACCUGGGUGGCUGAGAAGGGCACAUGGUGUGAGGCUCAGCCCCUCUGUCCCAGGGGCAACCAGGCUGCUGUGGUUCUUAGUCCCAGGAACUGAGGACCAGGACCGCGAGCAAUCAGUGAGGGGGCAGAUGUGGAUGUGGGAUGGGGGUGAGGGCCAGGGCCUCUCCCGGCUCCCCUCAGUGCCGCUCCUGGUGCACCAGUCAGCAGCACAGCCAGGACCGCUGCAGGCCCAUCCAGAGCAGAUGCUCC